rnacentral:rRNA from 1 species
UCCGUAGGCGGGUAAUUAAGUCAGAGGUGAAAUCCCACAGCUUAACUGUGGAACUGCCUUAGAUACUGGUUAUCUUGAGUUUUAGUGAAGUAGAUAGAAUGUGUAGUGCAGCGGUGAAAUGCAUAGAUAUUACACAGAAUACCGAUUGCGAAGGCAGUCUACUAACUAACAACUGACGCUAAUGGACGAAAGCGUGGGGAGCGAACAGGAUUAGAUACCCUGGUAGUC